rnacentral:lncRNA from 1 species
CGCUCACUGUGAAGAUGGAAAAUUUUGAAGAGUCCUUUCCCCCCUCUCCCAACACUUUAGAAAACAUCAUAUAUCUAGUUAAGUUUAUUUUGAAUUGUGAAGUACAGAUAUAAAAUUUGUAUAUGUGAGUUUUGAUUAUUAACUUUCUAAAAAAGAGAGCUCAGUCGGUCCCGAAUUAUUUUAUAUUUGCCUGUUAAUUUUUUUAUUUUGAGCGAAUUUGAGUCGUGACAUGUCAAUGGAGAACAAAAACUGUAAUGUGAACACAAAAAGGGUCAGAUGUGUUCUGCGAGGUCCUGCAAACAUACUGGUAAAAUGAGGUAAGAAAAUCGCUCUUUAUUAACGUUAACGUUACCUUUCAAAAAUAAUAAAGUAACAUUACCAGAGUUUACAAAUAGGUAAAGGACAUGUAACCUGCAGAAGAAAAAUAACAUUACCUGUGUGUGUAUUUUUGUAUUAAUUUAUCACAGAUGCUCAAGUUAGAUCAUCUGAUGUUGUUGUGUUGCUGCGCCAGUACCUGGUUGAGCUCCCAGGUGGCAGUAUUGUGCCUUAACGCUGACACCUGUCACACAAGAAGAUGAUGCAAAGGUGCAGCUACUCCGAGGAAAGCUGUGUUUGUCAGAGUAAGUUGUCAUUACUUUACUAGUCAUAGAAUGGGAAGCGUUAUAUUAACCUGUUAACAGCGUUUUUCUGUGUUCAUAUAUUUAAGUAAAGGGUGAUUAUUUUAAUAAGUACUGCAUUUUCUUUACUUGUUUUAUUUUUGUAUUUGCAAUCAAUAAGGCCUGUGGGUAGUAACACUUUAUUUCUUUGUUCAAAUCUAUUAACAAUUAUAUGAUUAAAACUGAUCUUGAAAAACUGAGCGACCACAUUGCUACAUUAAACUCUGAAAAACGUUAAGUUGGUCGCAGUGCCAUGCACUUAAUGCAUCAUCUGAGGUCAUUCUUCAGUAAGGUUCAUUAGUUAACAUUAGUUAAUUACAUUAGUUAACAUAUAUAAAUAAUAUUAAUAAUGAACAAUAUUUCCACAUCUUUAAUUUCAGCAUUUACUUACGCAUUAUUAAAAUCACAAGUUGUGUUUGUAAACAUUAAUGCACUGUGAACUAACAUGAACAAUGAACGACUCUAUUUUUAUUAACAUUAACAAAGAUUAAUAAAUUGUGUAAUAAAUGUAUUGUUCAUUGUUCUUUCAUGUUAGUUAAUACAUUAAUGUUAACAAAUGACAUCUUAUUGUAAAGUGUUACCAUUAAUAUUUAUUCAUCAUACUGUUGAACUUGACAGUAUUUUCUCUCUUGUUAUUUCAUAGGAGCUUCAAAGAAGACGGAGAAAGCCAGAGUCUUGUGCCCUGCGUUUAUCAGUAUCCUUAUGUUCGUUGGGUGAAAAAGAAAACCUCAAUAAACAGUAAAAAAUAAUUUAAUCAUGACAGCUCUAGUUAAUAACUAUUUAAUUAGUAAUCUUUGUAGUAAAGGUUUUUUAGUUUUUUUUUUUUUUACAUUUAAGUACAGUACAGUUAUGUAACUUUUGUUAUAACACAUUUUAAUUUAAUCUUUAAGUUUUUCAUUUACCUGAAU